rnacentral:rRNA from 1 species
AUUAGAGUUUGAUCCUGGCUCAGGACGAACGCUGGCGGCGUGCCUAAUACAUGCAAGUCGAGCGGACCGACGGGAGCUUGCUCCCUUAGGUCAGCGGCGGACGGGUGAGUAACACGUGGGUAACCUGCCUGUAUGACUGGGAUAACUCCGGGAAACCGGGGCUAAUACCGGAUGCUUGAUUGAACCGCAUGGUUCCAAUCAUAAAAGGUGGCUUUUAGCUACCACUUACAGAUGGACCCGCGGCGCAUUAGCUAGUUGGUGAGGUAACGGCUCACCAAGGCGACGAUGCGUAGCCGACCUGAGAGGGUGAUCGGCCACACUGGGACUGAGACACGGCCCAGACUCCUACGGGAGGCAGCAGUAGGGAAUCUUCCGCAAUGGACGAAAGUCUGACGGAGCAACGCCGCGUGAGUGAUGAAGGUUUUCGGAUCGUAAAACUCUGUUGUUAGGGAAGAACAAGUACCGUUCGAAUAGGGCGGCACCUUGACGGUACCUAACCAGAAAGCCACGGCUAACUACGUGCCAGCAGCCGCGGUAAUACGUAGGUGGCAAGCGUUGUCCGGAAUUAUUGGGCGUAAAGCGCGCGCAGGCGGUUUCUUAAGUCUGAUGUGAAAGCCCCCGGCUCAACCGGGGAGGGUCAUUGGAAACUGGGGAACUUGAGUGCAGAAGAGGAGAGUGGAAUUCCACGUGUAGCGGUGAAAUGCGUAGAGAUGUGGAGGAACACCAGUGGCGAAGGCGACUCUCUGGUCUGUAACUGACGCUGAGGCGCGAAAGCGUGGGGAGCGAACAGGAUUAGAUACCCUGGUAGUCCACGCCGUAAACGAUGAGUGCUAAGUGUUAGAGGGUUUCCGCCCUUUAGUGCUGCAGCAAACGCAUUAAGCACUCCGCCUGGGGAGUACGGUCGCAAGACUGAAACUCAAAGGAAUUGACGGGGGCCCGCACAAGCGGUGGAGCAUGUGGUUUAAUUCGAAGCAACGCGAAGAACCUUACCAGGUCUUGACAUCCUCUGACAACCCUAGAGAUAGGGCUUCCCCUUCGGGGGCAGAGUGACAGGUGGUGCAUGGUUGUCGUCAGCUCGUGUCGUGAGAUGUUGGGUUAAGUCCCGCAACGAGCGCAACCCUUGAUCUUAGUUGCCAGCAUUCAGUUGGGCACUCUAAGGUGACUGCCUGUGACAAACCGGAGGAAGGUGGGGAUGACGUCAAAUCAUCAUGCCCCUUAUGACCUGGGCUACACACGUGCUACAAUGGGCAGAACAAAGGGCAGCGAAGCCGCGAGGCUAAGCCAAUCCCACAAAUCUGUUCUCAGUUCGGAUCGCAGUCUGCAACUCGACUGCGUGAAGCUGGAAUCGCUAGUAAUCGCGGAUCAGCAUGCCGCGGUGGAUACGUUCCCGGGCCUUGUACACACCGCCCGUCACACCACGAGAGUUUGUAACACCCGAAGUCGGUGAGGUAACCUUUUGGAGCCAGCCGCCGAAGGUGGGACAGAUGAUUGGGGUGAAGUCGUAACAAGGUAAAAU